rnacentral:rRNA from 1 species
GAUGAACGCUGGCGGCGUGCUUAACACAUGCAAGUCGAACGGGGUACCCUUGAAGGAGGCUUCGGCCAACGGAAAGGAAUACCUAGUGGCGGACGGGUGAGUAACGCGUGAGGAACCUGCCUUGGAGUGGGGAAUAACAGCUAGAAAUAGCUGCUAAUACCGCAUAAUGCAACUAAGUCGCAUGGCUUUGGUUGCCAAAGAUUUAUCGCUCUGAGAUGGCCUCGCGUCUGAUUAGAUAGUUGGCGGGGUAACGGCCCACCAAGUCGACGAUCAGUAGCCGGACUGAGAGGUUGGCCGGCCACAUUGGGACUGAGACACGGCCCAG